rnacentral:rRNA from 1 species
CCUGGUUGAUCCUGCCAGUAGCAUAUGCUUGUCUCAAAGUUUAAGCCAUGCAUGUAUAAGUCCACACGGCUGGAAAAGUGAAACUGCGAAUGGCUCAUUAAAUCAGUUAUGGUUCCUUUGAUCGCUCACCCGCUACUUGGAUAACUGUGGCAAUUCUAGAGCUAAUACAUGCAAACGAGCGCUGACCUCCGGGGAUGCGUGCAUUUAUCAGACUUAAAACCCGCGCGGGGCGCUGCCGCGUGGUGGCCCCCGGCCUGUUUGGUGACUCUAGAUAACCUUGGGCCGAUCGCUCGCCCUCGCGGCGGCGACGACUCAUUCGAAUGUCUGCCCUAUCAACUUUCGAUGGUACUCUAUGUGCCUACCAUGGUGACCACGGGUAACGGGGAAUCAGGGUUCGAUUCCGGAGAGGGAGCCUGAGAAAUGGCUACCACAUCCAAGGAAGGCAGCAGGCGCGCAAAUUACCCAUUCACGACACGUGGAGGUAGUGACGAAAAAUAACAAUACAGGACUCUUUCGAGGCCCUGUAAUUGGAAUGAGUGUACUUUAAAUCCUUUGGCCAGUACCAAUUGGAGGGCAAGUCUGGUGCCAGCAGCCGCGGUAAUUCCAGCUCCAAUAGCGUAUCUUAAAGUUGCUGCAGUUAAAAAGCUCGUAGUUGGAUCUCGGGGCCGGGCUGACGGUCCGCCGAAAGGUGCUACCGACUGUCCGGCCCUGCACUCGGCGCCCCCUCGAUGCUCUUGGUUGAGUGUCUUGCGGGGUUCGAAGCGUUUACUUUGAAAAAAUUAGAGUGUUCAAAGCAGGCUCA